GUUGAGAUGGCCGAGUUUUAGGCGGUAGAUUGUAAAUCUAUUAACGGGUUUUUCUCUCUCAACA
rnacentral:tRNA from 1 species